rnacentral:rRNA from 1 species
UAGGGAAUCUUCGGCAAUGGACGAAAGUCUGACCGAGCAACGCCGCGUGAGUGAAGAAGGUUUUCGGAUCGUAAAACUCUGUUGGUAGAGAAGAACGUUGGUGAGAGUGGAAAGCUCAUCAAGUGACGGUAACUACCCAGAAAGGGACGGCUAACUACGUGCCAGCAGCCGCGGUAAUACGUAGGUCCCGAGCGUUGUCCGGAUUUAUUGGGCGUAAAGCGAGCGCAGGUGGUUUAUUAAGUCUGGUGUAAAAGGCAGUGGCUCAACCAUUGUAUGCAUUGGAAACUGGUAGACUUGAGUGCAGGAGAGGAGAGUGGAAUUCCAUGUGUAGCGGUGAAAUGCGUAGAUAUAUGGAGGAACACCGGUGGCGAAAGCGGCUCUCUGGCCUGUAACUGACACUGAGGCUCGAAAGCGUGGGGAGCAAACAGGAUUAGAUACCCUGGUAGUCCACGCCGUAAACGAUGAGUGCUAGAUGUAGGGAGCUAUAAGUUCUCCGUAUCGCAGCUAACGCAAUAAGCACUCCGCCUGGGGAGUACGACCGCAAGGUUGAAAC